UGGAUCCAGACUUUGAUCCUGGCUCAGGACGAACGCUGGCGGCGUGCCUAACACAUGCAAGUCGAACGGAACUUUUUUAAAAGAUUUCUUCGGAAUGAAUUUGAUUAAGUUUAGUGGCGGACGGGUGAGUAACGCGUGAGUAACCUGCCUCUAAGAGGGGAAUAACAUUCUGAAAAGAAUGCUAAUACCGCAUAAUAUAUAUUUAUCGCAUGGUAGAUAUAUCAAAGAUUUAUCGCUUAGAGAUGGACUCGCGUCCGAUUAGUUAGUUGGUGAGGUAACGGCUCACCAAGACUGCGAUCGGUAGCCGGACUGAGAGGUUGAACGGCCACAUUGGGACUGAGACACGGCCCAGACUCCUACGGGAGGCAGCAGUGGGGGAUAUUGCGCAAUGGGGGAAACCCUGACGCAGCAACGCCGCGUGAAGGAUGAAGGUCUUCGGAUUGUAAACUUCUUUUAUUAAGGACGAAGAAAGUGACGGUACUUAAUGAAUAAGCUCCGGCUAACUACGUGCCAGCAGCCGCGGUAAUACGUAGGGAGCAAGCGUUGUCCGGAUUUACUGGGUGUAAAGGGUGCGUAGGCGGCUUUGCAAGUCAGAUGUGAAAUCUAUGGGCUCAACCCAUAGCCUGCAUUUGAAACUGCAGAGCUUGAGUGAAGUAGAGGCAGGCGGAAUUCCCCGUGUAGCGGUGAAAUGCGUAGAGAUGGGGAGGAACACCAGUGGCGAAGGCGGCCUGCUGGGCUUUAACUGACGCUGAGGCACGAAAGCGUGGGUAGCAAACAGGAUUAGAUACCCUGGUAGUCCACGCUGUAAACGAUGAUUACUAGGUGUGGGGGGUCUGACCCCUUCCGUGCCGGAGUUAACACA
rnacentral:rRNA from 1 species